rfam:Phlebotomus papatasi Contig57101.1, whole genome shotgun sequence.
AUAAAAAAAACAGACCUGUCGGUGUGUGGGGUAAAAUUGUGGGAUCAUUAUGUGCCAUUGCUGGUGUAUUGACUAUUGCACUUCCGGUACCAGUUAUUGUCAGCAAC